rnacentral:rRNA from 1 species
UACGUAGGGUGCAAGCGUUAUCCGGAAUUAUUGGGCGUAAAGAGCUCGUAGGCGGUUUGUCGCGUCUGCUGUGAAAACUGGGGGCUCAACCCCCAGCCUGCAGUGGGUACGGGCAUACUAGAGUGCGGUAGGGGAGAUUGGAAUUCCUGGUGUAGCGGUGAAAUGCGCAGAUAUCAGGAGGAACACCGGUGGCGAAGGCGGAUCUCUGGGCCGUAACUGACGCUGAGGAGCGAAAGCAUGGGUAGCGAACAGG